rnacentral:rRNA from 1 species
AUUGAACGCUGGCGGCAGGCCUAACACAUGCAAGUCGAACGAGUGGCGGACGGGAGAGUAAUGUCUGGGAAACUGCCUGAUGGGGGGGGAUAUCUACUGGAAACGGUAUCAAAUACCGCAUACCAUGAGGUGUGCACAGAUGGGAGUAGCUUGUGGGUGGGGUAACGGCUCACCAAGGCGACGAUCCCUAGCUGGUCUGAGAGGAUGACCAGCCACACUGGAACUGAGACACGGUCCAGACUCCUACGGGAGGCAGCAGUGGGGAAUAUUGCACAAUGGGCGCAAGCCUGAUGCAGCCAUGCCGCGUGUAUGAAGAAGGCCUUCGGGUUGUAAAGUACUUUCAGCGGGGAGGCGUUACCCGCAGAAGAAGCACCGGCUAACUCCGUGCCAGCCGCCGCGGUAAUUC